ACCCAGCUGACGAUUACCAAAUAGGACGAAAUGCGCAUCCUGGAU
rnacentral:hammerhead_ribozyme from 1 species